AAUUCGAAGGGAAUGUCGCCGAUCGGAACCACCGAUCAACCUGAUGAUUCACUCCUUGGUGGGUCAGGUUCACCUGAGAGAACGUACAGUGAUUGGAGCACGUGACCGUUACGUUGUCUGCCACUUGUUUUCAUUUUUCUUUUGUCCCCACGAGAAAUUUCUACACUUACCCGCGUGUCAUCCUUGUUCCGUGUACGUUACUUUUCUUGGCGUAGACAAGGUGAAUUAAUUAAUGGCGUUUAUUAUACGGAGGCUUCGAGGUGAGACCAAAGAGAUGAUGAAGAAGAGGAAAAGGAAGACAACAAGGAGGACACGAUGGAGGCGGAAGAAUAAUAUCCACACAUGGGAGCCGCCCACGUUUGCUUUUCUCAGCGUUCCACCAUUUCUUUGGCGCUCUUGGAUCGGGCCAAGAUGUCGACGCAAAAACACUUCUCGAAACCCACUUCUCUUGCAGGGUCGCCAACGCUGCUAACAAACAUAUAAACAUAGAUAUAACGUUACUGCCUGAACGAACGUUGCUAGAAGUCGAGAAUGUUCUUUUGAUGCUUUUGGCAUGUUGGUAGUUCUAAUAUAUUUCUUACGUAUCAUGAGUUGACACUACAGUUUUGUCAGAUUACAUACAGCUAUAACAUAGCAUGUUACACUAUUUAGAUAUAAAUUAUACAUCUAUGAAGAUACAACAAUCUUAAGCAAUACAUUUGGAUUCUUAUUUUCUGACUACUUGAGUAUUUAAAUUCCCUAGGUUAUCCAACUGGUGUAUAGUGAAUGACACUAAACAGCUAUUGAUGAUUUAACGUUACUGAAUAUUCUGUAAAUACUGUAGGACUUUAGAAGCAUCUUAAAGUACUUAUUGAUGUUUGAAUGUACAAAAGAUUUUGUAAUAAUUUCAAAGGAUUGCUUCUUUGAUUACAUUGAUUCAAGAAAGCCUUCGCUCAGGCACUAGGGUUUAGUGAAAUGAAAGAGACCGAAGGAAAUUAAUGCUUCUACGUAAUGACUUCACUUAAGAAAUAGUUGUUGGUGAUCGAUUAAAAAUCAAUAUCUACUUAAAUCUAUCUUCGACAACAGUAAUAACAGCAUUGAAGAUCCUUGCACAAUCAUUGCCAUAUGGGAUACUCUCUUCAGCCUUAAUAGUCCACUACUUCUUCAAGGCACAUUCACAUGGUAACUUGUACAACUAUGGCGCAGGUUGCACGCUAUUUUACAUAGCAGUGUACAGUUUAAUCGACGACCCUGGCUCACUGACCCUUUUAGCCUGAACCUUCGUCUCGCCUCGUAAACAGCGAAUGUUGCAAGAGUGUAGCUGCAACAUAAACGUCUUAUAUUUGUGUGUGAAUUAAAUAAAAUUCCAUUCAAUCAAUUGCAUUUGUCCCCGAAAAAUAACAGAUACCAAAUGACAGAAUGAAGACCAGUCAUAGAACAAAGAAUGAGCAAAAACAAGAGUGAAACGAAUCAACUUAACUGACGUUGCCAUUGUCACAGGACGCGACAAUAACAAGGCAUCAACCCUUUAUGAGGGUUUUGGAAAAUUGGAGUCAGGCCAACUUUCCAAAUUCGGUACGAUGACUAAGAGGACAGCCUACCGCCACCAAUC